rnacentral:piRNA from 1 species
UAGCAGCCAGGUCCUGGAUGAUCUC